CGGCGGGCCGUAACACAUGCAAGUCGAGCGGAGAAAGGGACGUUACGGUCCCCUGUACAGCGGCGAACGGGUGAGGAACACGUAGGUAAUUAUCCUUCAGCGGGGACGAACGUUUCGAAAGGAACGCUAAUACCGCAUACGUCUCAUGAGAUUCCGGUCUUGUGAGGGAAAGCUAGGUAGCAAUAUCCGGCACUGAAGGACAAGCCUGCGUCGCAUCAGCUAGUUGGUGAGGUAAUGGCUCACCAAGGCAAAGACGCGUAGCUGGUCUGAGAGGAUGAUCAGCCACACUGGAACUGAGACACGGUCCAGACUCCUACGGGAGGCAGCAGUGGGGAAUAUUGGACAAUGGGCGCAAGCCUGAUCCAGCCACGCCGCGUGAGUGAUGAAGGCCUUCGGGUCGUAAAGCUCUGUGGGGCGAGACGAACCGCUGGGAGUGCAUAGCUUCCAGCAUGACGGUAUCGCCUUAGCAAGCACCGGCUAACUUCGUG
rnacentral:rRNA from 1 species